rnacentral:misc_RNA from 1 species
GAUAAGAACGUAGCGAAAUGCGAUAAGUAAUGCGAAUUGCAGAAUUCAGUGAAUCAUCGAAUCUUUGAACGCACAUUGCGCCCGCCAGUAUUCUGGCGGGCAUGCCUGUUCGAGCGUCAUUACAACCCUCAGGCCCCCGGGCCUGGCGUUGGGGAUCGGCGGAAGCCCCCUGCGGGCACAACGCCGUCCCCCAAAUACAGUGGCGGUCCCGCCGCAGCUUCCAUUGCGUAGUAGCUAACACCUCGCAACUGGAGAGCGGCGCGGCCACGCCGUAAAACACCCAACUUCUGAAUGUUGACCUCGAAUCAGGUAGGAAUACCCGCUGAACUUAAGCAUAUCAAUAAGCGGAGGA